AUUUCAGAAGCUGUAACUCCAGAUCCUUAUGUAAGAGAUUUCCUUUGCUAUUAGGCUUCCCAAACCAUGUCCCCAGCCCUGGACCGACUGAUAAAUGCAGGAACCUGUGGGAGAUAUAUCAUAUUCUAACAAAAACAGCAGAUGGAAAGAGUGCUUACUAAAGAAAGAACUGGCCUCCUCAGUUUCUUCUUCACAAAGGAGCAGUUCUCCAAGAGAUCAAAGCCAAAUAGCACAAAACAAGAUAAAAUUAGACAAGUGUUCUUCAGUCUCCAAGGGGAGGGACCUGAUGGAGAACUCAUUGAGAUUCUGUCUGGCUUCAGGUCUGCACCAUCUUCAAUCUGCUCCCAUCUGAUGAUGACUGGGGAAAGUACUCAGUGAUCUAUGAGUAUAGCAGAAUAUCACUAGGAAUCAUUUCAUUGAUUUUUUUGACUUGUUCUAGUUGGUUCUAACCUAAGUCUUUGGCUUUCAUAUUUCCAGUUUUUUUGUCAUCCCGGCAGCAGAAGACAUGGGCUUCCUGUGGUGUCAGUCUCAUUUUAAACCAAAUAUUGGUUGGUCAUUCCCACAAAUUUUGAGCCUCCAUUGUCCCAACACACCUUACAUGCAGGAAAAAUUGUGAAGGGUUUUAUGACUAAAUUGGUGUUUGGGUGUCUCUUCCUGUCAUGUGUAAAGUACCUUCUUGUGCCAAAGAAUUAGAGUAUAGGGGCGGAGCUCCAUGCCCACAUAGGUUCUUCCUCUCACCAUCCAAUGGCUGUGUAGAUGGAGUUGGCAAUGGAGUUCACACUGUCAGUUUUAAGAGACUAACCUUUGUCGUAGGAUGGGUCUAAUUUUUUAGGGAUCACCUAGGGCUCCCUUGGCCAACAACAAUAAAAGAAUGUAACCCAUUCCCACUACCAGAAGCCUUGCCUCGGUACCAGAUUCUUCAUCCUCCAUUAUGAGUCCUCACUAGAGUAACUGCUAUAGAUUUCAGGUGGUUUCCACUCUUCUAGGGUUCCCUACAGCUCCACAAUGCUCAAUUCCAGCUGCCUGUCUCUGAACUCCCUUCCACUACCCUCCCCCCAUCCUUCCCACUCCCGUUCCCACCUUACCUCAGCCUACCCUACACCUGUCAGAAUGGUUAAACUUAAUGACAUAAGUGACAGCUUAUGCUAGUGAGAAUGAGCAAUAAUGGGAACACUCCUUCAUAACUGGUGGAAGUGAAACUUGAAUAGACUUUAUGGAUAUAUCAAUAUGAUGAUUCCUGAGAAAACUGGGUAUCAACCUACCUCAAGACCCAGCUAUACUACUCUUGAGUAUAUACCCAAAGGACACUAUAUCUUACUAAAAGAACACUAACUCAACUAUGUUCAUUUCAGCUUUAUUCACAAUAGCUAGAAACUGGAAACACCUCUGUAGGAUGAUGUCAUUAUACAGGUGUAGGCAGGUACAAGAUAAAACGAGGCCUGUCAUUAGAUGAGAAGGAAGGAAGGGCGGGAGAAAAGUUUUAGAGAGGAGGAGAAGACUGGAGUGGGGGGAGAAGCAGCCAAGAGAACAUGGAGACAGAUGUUAUGAUUCAUCUCUACACAUUUACAGAUUGUUAUGAAUAUUCUUUUUUUUUCUUUUUUUCUUUUUUUUCGGAGCUGGGGACAGAACCCAGGGCCCUGGGCUUGCUAGGCAAGCGCUCUACCACUGAGCUAAAUUCCCAACCCCUGUUAUGAAUAUUCUUAAGGGUUAGAUGUGUACAGGAUUUUGUGUAUCUUGAUGAGCAACUGUAUCUUAUUGAGAUGGGCAAUUAUAUCUUAUUAAUUGGAUCAGAGGUUAUUGUGUUGUGUGUUCUUUCAUGUGGCCAUUUAAUUGAAUUCAAGAGUGUGUGUGGUGGCUGGAGACACUGGGCCAUCACAGAAUUGGGAUGUAUCUGUCUGGUAUGGUGGUAACCUGCCUUGGGAACUAGAUAGGUAGAGAGAUUGUUGCCAGGCUCAGAGAGUAGCCAUUGGCAGUGUGAUAUGGGAUAGAGCAAAAUGAGUGAGAUGGAUUGCUGACUGAGAUGAAGAUAUUUAACAUAUGUCUCAGGGCACUAUUGUGCCAUAUCUAGUGAGGGGUAAAGGAAAACAUUUUUUAUAUAAUUUUUCUGCAACAAACCUCAAUGUUCCUCAACUAAAGAAUGGGAUAAAGAAAAUGUGGUAUAUCUAUACAAAUGAAGUAUAGACCAGCUUUUAAAAUGACAUUAAGAAAUCUGCAGGGACAUGGAUACAACUAGGUAAAACAAAACAAUAUUCUAAGUGAGGUAACCCAGACCUAGAAGAACAAACAUGAUAUGUCAUCAUUUAUAAGUAAAUAUUACCCAUUAAGUAAAUGAAAACCAUACUAUAGUCUGUAGACCCAGAGAUGUUAAGUAAAGAGAAGGAGUCUAAG